AAUUACAUCUCUCUCGCUUCUGCGUAACACCUACUAUCGCCAACUAAAACCCUAGAUGCUAAUACUUUCUUUGCAGUUAACAUCCUCGUUCCACCACUAUGGCACCGUGAUUUUCAUCUAAUUCUCUUUUUUUAAACAAAUUAAGUUUAAAAUGGAUGAUAUUUCUCGUACAAUUGAAGAUCUAGCUUGAUUGGAUUUGGGAGAACUAGAGGUCACGGAUGGAAUCAAUUAUGACCGUUGUCUGGUAGACAGAUUGCUAACACACAGAUCUAUCAAUGUCAAGCAAUGAAAAAUACUCUGGCAAGUAUCCGGCGACCUGGGCGAUAUAUGAAAAUAAAGAAUUUGGGAAGCUAUUGUAUCCUAUUUUGCUUCAAGAUAUUCAACAUGUGUUAGUCCUUCAAUAAUCUAUUGUUGUUACACAUGCUAUAAAGUGAGGAUUUAGAGCAA